UUCAUCCAUUAGGGACUAGGGAAGAAAACAGAAGCCAAUCCGGACAUUCUAAGCAGCAAGGUAUUUGACUCAGGGAAUUAAACGCUUAGGAAGUCAUUAUAAGUGCUAAAAAAAAAAAAAAAAAAAAAAAAUUGUCUCCCGGAAUGCAUGACUUCCUUGAAUAUCUCCAUAAAUAAUACAGCAUUGAACCACUAUGGCAGUCACUCUUCUGAGGCUAUACUAAGAGCAAGAAACAACCACUAUCAUCCUAAUUAUAUUAUCUGAUAGCUAUCCUAGAAGGCUUUUUCAUGAAGACCAGAAAUUUGGAUGCUGUACUCACUAGAGGGAUUACCAAAAAUGGUUAGAGGAUGGACUAUUCGAUGAGCCACCGUAAGGAAAAGGAAGAUACCAUUCAAGAUUCCAGAGUCUGCCGAAUAGCAACUUUGCUUUGGAACAAAACACUCUGUCACUAGUACUUGACAGCAGAAGUCAGGAAAUAGGAGAAUACUUGAAGAUGGAGAUAAAGUUCUGUGAGGAAAGAAGAGACUCUAGGAACGAAAAACAGGGAAAGGCAUACAUGGCCCCUAGUUGAAAAAGGGUCCAAACAGCAUUUUGUUUUCACAUCAGGAGUACAAGUUCUGCUGUGUUUUUGGAGUCCAAUGCAUCAUAUAUAAGGCAGAGGUGGCAGCUGUAACAGAGCAUCUGCAGAUGCUGAGUGCUUGAAAUGGGUGGUUGUUACAACCGCUUCUCAGGAUUACUCACAUCAUACUCCAUCUGCUUCUGACAUCUUAGUUGACAGAAUAUAUCAGAUGCAUUUAAUAAAGCAAGUGCAAAAAAUGUAAAGAGAGACAUUUAAA